UACGAAGGGGGCUAGCGUUGUCCGGAAUCAUUGGGCGUAAAGAGCGUGUAGGCGGUCCGGUAAGUCCGCUGUGAAAGUCGGGGGCUCAACCCUCGAAUGCCGGUGGAUACUGUCGGGCUAGAGUACGGAAGAGGCGAGUGGAAUUCCUGGUGUAGCGGUGAAAUGCGCAGAUAUCAGGAGGAACACCUAUUGCGAAGGCAGCUCGCUGGGACGUAACUGACGCUGAGACGCGAAAGCGUGGGGAGCAAACAGG
rnacentral:rRNA from 1 species